UUACCCUCCUCCUACGUCACUUCUCUUCUCCCCUACCUGUGUUGCUGGUACUUCCAAAUAAAUUAUUAGCCCUUACAUCCUGUCUCAGGCUCUGCUUCUUGGAGGAACAUAAGUGACAUCCCUCUCCAUAUUAUAAAAGACUCUGCUCCAAGCUUGGUAUAGAGUCAGCUAAUUGCUGUGGCCCAAUGAGCUUGGCCAGAGUCGUCCCUGCUGUGAAUUUGCUGCUACCGGGCACAUUUAAGGUUCAUAUCCUGAAGCACAUCCAGAGGGUCUUAUAAAAACACUAUGGGGUGGAGAUUGUUAUCCUGUUUAUAAAUUCUUAAGUAAAGAGGGGAGUCAGGUUUAGGAAGUGGAAGGAUGGAGAGGGAAUUCACAGCUCUGGUAUAGGCAUUCCAUUCUAGAGGCUUCCCAUGCUUUAAAAAUGUUUAAUUUUUGAGCUGACCAAAAAGUUGCAAAAGAUGAAGCAUGGCUUAUAUUCCUCACCCCCCCCAUUUCUUCUUCUAGAAUCACAAUAUGAUAGAUACAGAAAUGAAGACAGAGGGCUGGGGUUGUAGCUCAGUGUCAGAGGGCUUGCCUCGCACACGGGAGGAACGGAGUUCGAUCCUGAACUGAGUUUGAUCCUCAGCACCACAUAAACAAGUCAAAUAAAGGUACUGUGCCCAUUUACAACUAAAAAUAUAUUUUUUUAAAAAAAAUGAAGACAGAGUCACCCCUGCCUCUCUCAGGUGCCACAUAUCCGUGUCACUACGGGAGCUCAUUCGAUGCUGGUCCACAAGAUUAUAAUGGGAUCAGAACAGGAGCAUGUGGCUGCCAAAGAGGUGAGAGAAAAGGAAACUGCAGGGGGAGAAAAAGAACACCUGAGGAAAUUCACAGUGAGGGGUUUAGCAGAAGCUUUUGCAGACCUUAACAAGUUCCUUAAAAUGUUUGAAAAUAGGGGCCCUGACACUGACAGGUUUUUGUGGCUAGAGAGGGAAGUUCAUGAGGUAUGAUCUGCUAACAACCAACUCUAUGAUGAAAAGGAAAACAAGCCAAGUAAACCACCCUGGACGUAUUUCCCAAGGGUGACACCUGCCAAGAAGAGUUUAGGCAGGACCUUCAGGAGGGAUUCCAGAAGGGGGCAUCUCUAUGGUAGGACGUGAUAUUUCCAUGCCUGUGGUUCCUCUAAAGACCUCCCACAAGAUGUAAAGAGAGAAGACAGUGAUACUGAUGACCCUGGCUCUGGUAGGCCCAGGCUAAUUUGUGUGUUUGUGUCUUCAUUUUCAACAAAAUAGUAAAAAAAAAAUUAAGAAAAUAGAGAAACGUUUCCAGAAUGAGGAUCUAAAGAAAGUGGUUUCGUACAGCCAUAGAACUGUUCUCCAAACAAAGAGUUUAAAAAGUUCAUAAAGUAAAAAGUUUGGGAAAUCAACUUAUUAUUGAAGAAAAAUCUUGUGUGAAGAAGGAAAAAAAACACCACUUAUUGAAGAAAGAAAAAUUUUAAUUUCAUGUAGCUGAAGCGUGCAGUGUUUAUAAAGUCGACAACAGUGUCCAGUAACUUGCGAGACCUUCACGUUCACUUCCCACUCACUCACUGGUUCACCCAGAACCACCGCCAGUCCUGCAAGCUCCCUUCAGGGGACAUGUAUGUACUCCUGCGCACGUUGCUAGGCACACCCGCAUUUCCUAGCUCUGUCUGAUGAGUGGGCCUAGGAGUGACACCUCAGGGCCAGUGAACACACCAGCAAUCCAGACUUUGGGCUCUAAACACCAUCUAUUCUCCAUGAAAAGGAACCAGGGGUUCCUAAGAGAAACAGUUGAUUCUAGGGCUGAAGAAUGGAAAAUACCAAGAUGUGCUCGGAACAUCUGGAGGGUGGGAAGAAGGAGACAGCCUGGUGGAACGCCACAGUCCACACAACUUGAGCUUCCAAAACCAAGCUGGCACUGGGUCUUAGAUGGGAAGACUGAAUGGAGACAUUUAAAAAUUAGAUUUUUUUUUAAAGAUAAAAAUCACCCUAUGAGAUAGGCAUCAUGCUCAGAAAUUUACAAAAUUCUUGAGGCCACACAGGAGUGAAGAUUCGAAUCCUGGUCUAAAUACACAGAAGGCCACUACGGGCCACGCCUCUGCCAUUGGGUCCAGAAGGAUCCCUCCACACUGGAAAGCCCUGGCUUCUGCGGAGUCCAGCAGCACAGAAGCCCUCGGCCUCUCACUCAGAUGGAGUCUCAGGUCCUGUCGGGGGUCCCGGGGAAGGGAGGGAGUUAGGCUGAGAGGCAGGGGGGCAGCAGAGGGUGGAAACCUGACCUCCCCUCUGAAGCACCCCGCGGUGCCCAGAUGCCUUCCUUGAUAGUAGGGCUCCCCGAUUCCUCCUCAUCCACCCACAUUUCCUGGGGGUUGGUGGAGAGAGUGGACGAUUCCCACACUGCUGUCAGAGUGACCUGGGUGAUGAAUGGCCCCAAACAGCAAGGAAGGGAAGGAGUGGCAUUCCUCUCCUUCCAACUCUCCCUGGGCUCUAGAUAAAUUGCCUCUGUCGCAGCCGGGCCGGGGAGCUGUGAUGUGGUUGGGUGGCUGUGUGCCAGCCUGGCCCUGCCUCCCAGCGUGGGGACUGAUCCUGCUGGCCAGUUUUCAAAAAAAGAAAGAAAGAAGGGAGCAGGGGUCCACUGCUCUUUACGGUUAAAGCCUGUCUCUCCAGGGUCUUGGCCCCUUCACCGCCACCAUGGUAUGCCUUUCUCAUGGAUGAGGAGCCCACCUCUGUGUGGAGGAGGGUCUGUCCUUCGCUGUAUCCACAGCUGAUGCUCAGAUGCAGACUGGGCCAGAGGCAGAGGGAUGGAUGAGAUGAGCUGUCAGAGACGGGAUCCUUCCUGUGCAGGUUUGGAUUACCCGAUGGGUUUUGAGUACUGGCCCUAAAUUAUCAAGAUUUAUCAUGCUCCACUAUUUUAGAACUGAAAAGGGACAGGAAGGGUGGACCCUGAUUUUUCCCACUGUAUCCAGUAGCCUUCCCUAUCUUGGCAGUGGGACCUGGUUAACAUGUCCUGCUGUGUCUGUCUUUCUUCUCAGGGCCCUGGCCUUAAGGCCGUCCCCUCCUCCCUGCCGGAAUGGAGGCAAGGCAUCCUGUUGUCCCCUGCCUCCACGCUCAUUCUCUCUGAUCCAUCUUCUACCAGCAGCUAGGGCAAGGUACACGUCUCCCCCAGGAUCUUCCCUUGGCCCUUCAUCAUGAAGAUGGAAUCUGCCUCUGACUGCAUGUGUGUGGUCUUCCAUGACUCUGCCCUGCCCAGCCUGGCUGACUUCUCCAGCUUUGUCUUUCUCUGAUCAUGCUGAAGCAAACUCUAAUCUUCUUCUUAUUCUGAUAUUUUUUUCUUUUUUUUUUUCAGGACUGGGAUCAAAUCUAGGGCCUAAAUUUGAAUACUAGCAAACACUUUACUGCAGAGCUAUAUCCCCAGCCCUUUUUCUUUUUGAGACAGGGUCUCACUAAAUUGCCCAGUCUGCCCUCACACUUGUGAUCCUCCUGCCUCAGCCUCCUGAGCAGCUGGGUUACAGGUGUACACCACCGCCUCCUGUGAAACUCUAAUGUGGGAGGAUCUGCUUUCUCUUGCCAUUAGUAAGGUGCUUAAACGAGCUCCUGGUUAUCACUAGAGCCUCAGCUUCCUCUAGGAGGCCCUCCCCAGGCUAGAUUAAACGCGGCCUUCCUCUGCCAUCCCACGGAAGCCUCCUGACAUCAUCAUCUGGUGAGCUCAUCAGACUCCCCAUGACUGAGGCUCGCAGGACCUGCCACACACUACCCUUGCAGGCACUCCUUACUGCUGUAAGGAAACGGGACAACAACCGUUCUGGCUUCUUCGAGCUGGAAGCGGGAGGUGUGGGAUCUCGGUGGAAACUCCAAAUAGGAUACCACGGGUUAUCGGUGACGAGUUCUGCAUCCUGCCAGGAUACCAGCUAUGGCCCCCUUCUCUCUCCCAGGAGAAGUCUAUGUUACCCGCUUUUUAAUAAAUUCUGCCUUAUAUGCUUGCCUCAGUGUGCUUUGAAAUUAUCUUUAUCUGAUAAAUCUAUCCAUCCAAGCUUUCUUUUGAUUAAAGUUUUGAGGAUCUUUUUUCCUCACCUUUUGAUUUCAAACCUAUCUGAUCUUUACAAUAAAACGGAGUGUUUACAAUUAAAUUGAGUGUUGCUUUUUUAGUUAAGCUGACAAUCACUGCCUUUUUGUUGGCUUGUUUAAGCCAUUUAAAUUUAAUAUGAUUGUCAAUAUGGUUGGAUUUAAACAUGACAUUUGUUGUUUGUGUAUGUCCCAUCUGUUUUGUUCAUCUGUAUUCUUCUCCUGAAAAAAAAUUUUAAGAUUCCAUUUUAUUUCCAAUACAUGCAUGUGUAUAGUUUUGCUUUAUGAAUUGCUCAAGAGUGGAUAUAUUAACCUAUUGCAGGCUACCUUGAAGUGAUGUUUACUAAUUCACAUGCAAUGCAAGAACUCUUGGCCUUUGUGCUAUAGUUGUUAUAUAUUUAAUUUCUAUG